rnacentral:sRNA from 1 species
AGGAAGUUGUACCAAUACUCCAGCUAUUUGAGCAGUUGUUGCAAAGGGAUGGUAACAGCAAUGGCUCUGAGUAAAUCCACUAACUCACACAAAAAUGCUACUGAAGACCUUUAUGAGGUGGCUAAGUUGAAGAAAGAAUGUUAUGAAUGGAUCAACACAUGCUCUUGCCUCCUUUCUAAUAUCAAAGGCAGAAAAAUUACAUUAUUGACAUAUGAAGAAAUAGAGCAGCUACUUGAAGAGGAGGCUGUAAAAGAAUUCAUUGAGCCUGAAAUAGACGAGUCUUUUAAAGAAGAUGAAGAAGAAAGUAAGGAGGAUAGGAAACUUCAGGAGGAAAAUAAAGAGAGAACAGAAGAACAACCUUCAACAUCUACAGAGAAGGAAAAACUCAUUCGAUUCAUUGGAGAAGAUGAAAAUGUUCAUUCCAAACCUCUAUUUGAAACAGAUGUGUUGUCUUCCUGGAAAAAGGUAUAGUGGUAUGAUGGGAUGUGUGAGUGAGGGUGAGAGACUUAGAUGCAGGCUUGCUUUAGCCCACUGGAUCAUGCUGUGAUUGUGGCAGGCUGUCCACCCUCUUCUAUCUCUCCUUCCGUCUAUAAUAGAGAAUCAGCUAAGCAAGGUACAUUGGCCCAAAAAUAUCUUGAAGCAAUGGCUGUAAUUGAACAUAUGCAGGAGAAGUUACUGGAGGUUGAAAACAGAGCCAGACAGGCAGAGGAGAAGUUUGAAGAUGCAUAUGAGAAACUUCAUCAUACCCUUAUAAAAAAUAAAGAUCUAGAGGAAUUAGUCAUGACAUCAAGAAAGGAGUCUGAAGAAGAGAAAGAAAAUGAAGAUGAAAGAGAAGUAAAAGAACAAGAAGAACAAGAAGAAGUCAGGUCAGCAGAAAAUUCCUCAAAAUCUCCAAAGAAAGGUCACUGAAUCCAAGGCAACCUGUGGAGAGAAGAAUUCAGAUGUCAGUGGGAGCCUCCAGGUGGAGGGAGAGCAUGCCUAAACCCUGGUGGCCAUUGUUCUAUACUAAGGAAGAACAUUCCCUUUGAAAGGACAUUAUUUGCCUGUUGUAUUUAACUUCACAGUGCCUUGCAAAGAGUCGUUUAACUUGAAUAGUGCCAACCAAUAAAUAUCUGUGCAAUUGAA